GUGGUCACUUCGGCAACACAUACACUAAAACUGGAAAGAUAGAGAGAACAUUAGCAUGGCCCCUGGGCAAGGACGACACUCAAAUUUGUGAAGUGCUCCAUAUUUUU
ensembl:snRNA U6 U6 spliceosomal RNA